GGAGCAUCUUACACGGUUUUAACCCCUUUUAUCCCUGGGGUACCGUAACACCGUUUUUUUUUUUCCUUUUCUCUGUAUAACUUUUAAUCUGAAAAAUGCUGUAUUAAAAAAAAAAUGCAAUACUACAAGUAGAACACAGUUUAAAGCAGGGCUUGACAAAUUUCCUUGGAAUCUUUUUUUAAAAAAAAACUUAUAAAGCUUUGUGCUUAAGAAAAGCGCUUCCCUUUGAAAUAAAAGGGAAAGGUUCUUAAUAAUUUCAAGGUAGUCAAGCAGAAAAUGGAGCAUGUGCACGAAUUUAACAAACCAUGUGCCACUGCAGAAGCAUGGUGUUGUUCUGCAGCAACACUUUCCAGUUGGACUGUCACACAUUUCCAGUCAUUGACAAGUGCAGAGAGAGCAC